rnacentral:rRNA from 1 species
GGCAGGCCUAACACAUGCAAGUCGAACGGUAACAGGAAACAGCUUGCUGUUUCGCUGACGAGUGGCGGACGGGUGAGUAAUGUCUGGGAAACUGCCUGAUGGAGGGGGAUAACUACUGGAAACGGUAGCUAAUACCGCAUAACGUCGCAAGACCAAAGAGGGGGACCUUCGGGCCUCUUGCCAUCGGAUGUGCCCAGAUGGGAUUAGCUAGUAGGUGGGGUAACGGCUCACCUAGGCGACGAUCCCUAGCUGGUCUGAGAGGAUGACCAGCCACACUGGAACUGAGACACGGUCCAGACUCCUACGGGAGGCAGCAGUGGGGAAUAUUGCACAAUGGGCGCAAGCCUGAUGCAGCCAUGCCGCGUGUAUGAAGAAGGCCUUCGGGUUGUAAAGUACUUUCAGCGGGGAGGAAGGGAGUAAAGUUAAUACCUUUACUCAUUGACGUUACCCGCAGAAGAAGCACCGGCUAACUCCGUGCCAGCAGCCGCGGUAAUACGGAGGGUGCAAGCGUUAAUCGGAAUUACUGGGCGUAAAGCGCACGCAGGCGGUUUGUUAAGUCAGAUGUGAAAUCCCCGGGCUCAACCUGGGAACUGCAUCUGAUACUGGCAAGCUUGAGUCUCGUAGAGGGGGGUAGAAUUCCAGGUGUAGCGGUGAAAUGCGUAGAGAUCUGGAGGAAUACCGGUGGCGAAGGCGGCCCCCUGGACGAAGACUGACGCUCAGGUGCGAAAGCGUGUGGAGCAAACAGGAUUAGAUACCCUGGUAGUCCACGCCGUAAACGAUGUCGACUUGGAGGUUGUGCCCUUGAGGCGUGGCUUCCGGAGCUAACGCGUUAAGUCGACCGCCUGGGGAGUACGGCCGCAAGGUUAAAACUCAAAUGAAUUGACGGGGGCCCGCACAAGCGGUGGAGCAUGUGGUUUAAUUCGAUGCAACGCGAAGAACCUUACCUGGUCUUGACAUCCACAGAACUUUCCAGAGAUGGAUUGGUGCCUUCGGGAACUGUGAGACAGGUGCUGCAUGGCUGUCGUCAGCUCGUGUUGUGAAAUGUUGGGUUAAGUCCCGCAACGAGCGCAACCCUUAUCCUUUGUUGCCAGCGGUCCGGCCGGGAACUCAAAGGAGACUGCCAGUGAUAAACUGGAGGAAGGUGAGGAUGACGUCAAGUCAUCAUGGCCCUUACGACCAGGGCUACACACGUGCUACAAUGGCGCAUACAAAGAGAAGCGACCUCGCGAGAGCAAGCGGACCUCAUAAAGUGCGUCGUAGUCCGGAUUGGAGUCUGCAACUCGACUCCAUGAAGUCGGAAUCGCUAGUAAUCGUGGAUCAGAAUGCCACGGUGAAUACGUUCCCGGGCCUUGUACACACCGCCCGUCACACCAUGGGAGUGGGUUGCAAAAGAAGUAGGUAGCUUAACCUUCGGGAGGGCGCUUACCACUUUGUGAUUCAUGACUGGGGUGAAGUC